rnacentral:lncRNA from 1 species
GAGGAUCUCCUCCUCCGGGCUGGCAGGCUGGUCCUUGCAGAGCUCAGGUUGGGCAGCAGCCAGAAUAAGGUUAUGGCAAGGCAUAGGUAUUUGAUAAAUUGGUGUUUUGUGCCUCCUGCACUGUGGGCAACUUCCUGACGGACAACUGCUGACUUUCUAGACUUUGAAGCUAAAAGAUAUGUAGGAGACAGAGGUCUCGUGGUUUUGGCUAAUAAAAGUCUUCCCUAGCUAACUGAUCACAGAUCAGUAAGCGUCCGGCUUUGCUGUGAAAAUGUCUCCCUCACUUCUGGUUUGUCUCACCAAUAACUGAUUAGUCAUUAGUUGAACUGUCUAAUGACUUAAAACAAUCUAACAACGCAAGAUGUUCUCCAUUGUGCAUACCUAUAUUCUGCCUCUAAAGACUUCCUGAAGAAAGAAGUCAUGCAAACCAGAAAGCAAGGUGUGUACACCUUGCAACUUAAAUUGGGUCAGAGAGCAGACCCCAAGGGUGGAAGGAAGAAAACAUCUGCCUUUCUCACAGGAGAACUCCAGCCGCAGUGACUGGUACCAGGCCAGGCCAAUUGUCAAGGUCAGCGCUGGGAAGAAGCUGUUUACUUUGGUCUUCUCCCUGGCUUCUUGGUUUGGUUCUUAAGCAUUCAUUUCCUAUUUUGAAGUUGAGAUGAUGGGUUGAGGUAAAUAAACUGAAAAGCCACA